rnacentral:lncRNA from 1 species
GGAAAUUUCGAUCCUUUUCAAGUUUUUUGUACUUGUUUUCAACUUAGUUUUUAAGAAGUGUGCAAAAUUUUGAGUUAAGAUCAAUGAUUCAUUACUUAAUUAUUGAGAUUUAAAUCUGUUAUAGAAAUUACUAGGAUUUGAUUAGGAUUUGAUUUAGGGUUUAAGGUUUGGUUAGGAUUUGAUUUAGGAUUAUGAUUUGAUUAGGGUUUGAUUUAGGAUUAGAAUUUGGUUAGGAUUUGAUUUAGGAUUAGGAUUUGAUUAGGAUUUGAUUUAAGAUUAGGAUUUGAUUUAAGAUUUAGGAUUUGAUUAAGAUUUGAUUUAGGAUUAGGAUUUGGUUAGGAUUUGAUUUAGGAUUAGGAUUUGGUUUAAGAUUUAGUAUUUGAUUAGGAUUUGAUUUUAAAUCAAGGUUGGUUAGGAUUUGAUUCAUGAUUUAGAAUCUUAUUAAGAUUUUUUUAGGAUUUUAGAUUUAGUUAGUUUUUGGCCUAAAGUUUGAAUGAAGUCCAAUAGGAUUUUAACUAGGAUUAAAUCAAGAUUGAAUUGAGAUAUAUUUUAGAUGUAUUUGUGAUCAUUUUAGUAUUUCUUUAAGAUUUCUUAUUGUUUCUUUGUAAUUUCUUUAAGA